UAAUACCAGCACCCCGAGUGGUCGGGACGUUUAUUGGGCCUAAAGCAUCCGUAGCCGGUUCUACAAGUCUUCCGUUAAAUCCAACUGCUUAACAGGUGGGCUGCGGAAGAUACUAUAGAUCUAGGAGGCGGGAGAGGCAAGCGGUACUCGAUGGGUAGGGGUAAAAUCCGUUGAUCCAUUGAAGACCACCAGUGGCGAAGGCGG
rnacentral:rRNA from 1 species